GCUAAGGAUAGUUCAGGACAAGGCAGGAUGCCGGUUGCAGUCACCAGGAUGGGGCUGCUCAGGAUGAGACAGGACACUUUCAGCAAGAAAGCAGGGACACCGCCAGGAAGGUCGAAGAGAGUUAUUUCAGGAUGAAGUAACGGAUCAGGAGAUCAACGGACACGUUCAGGAUGAACGCCAGAUGGAAUAUCGCCGACGGAUUCCGGCGCAUCAACGGAUUGAGGCAGGGAGCCACAUCGUAGCGGGAAUGCUGCAAGUAAGACCUAAGGGCGCAACGCAAGUUGCGCCCGUUUUAUUUGGU
rnacentral:other from 1 species